GUAGGUGGCAAGCGUUGUCCGGAAUUAUUGGGCGUAAAGCGCGCGCAGGCGGUUCUUUAAGUCUGAUGUGAAAGCCCACGGCUCAACCGUGGAGGGUCAUUGGAAACUGGAGAACUUGAGUACAGAAGAGGAAAGCGGAAUUCCACGUGUAGCGGUGAAAUGCGUAGAGAUGUGGAGGAACACCAGUGGCGAAGGCGGCUUUCUGGUCUGUAACUGACGCUGAGGCGCGAAAGCGUGGCGAGCAAACAGGAUUAGAUACCCUGGUAGUCCACGCCGUAAACGAUGAGUGCUAAGUGUUAGGGGGUUUCCGCCCCUUACGUGCUGCAGCUAACGCAUUAAGCACUCCGCCCUGGGAGUACGGCCGCAAGGCUG
rnacentral:rRNA from 1 species